UGUGUCUCAAUUCAGGGUCUGCAUCCUACCUCGGCCGGAUUCGUCGGCCGGUUACGUCACAGCGCCGCGACUCGGCCUGUCCCAAUUCGAAGACUCCUUCAAAUGCGGUCGACGAAUGCGGCCUUCUUUUCGCCUGAAUGAAGGAUGGGUCGGGUGUAUCCUUCAAUAGGUAGCAUUUCCCAAGAUGCCUUGCGGGCCGGCCGGCAGAAAAACUUAAAAACAAUGGCGGACAGUGAAGCGGGAGCUGUCGGAGAGGAUUGCGCAUAUAAAUGUAAGUAUAAACUUGAAAACUGUCAGUUUAAGGACUUUUUGUGAUACAUGAACGUUAUUUUAGUUAGAAAUGUUACAGUAAAAGUGCUUGUAUUGCGGUCUCGGCUCGUAUGUUCGGCCGCGCUCGGUGUCGUACUUCUCCCACUACGUUUCCCCCUGAUUUUAAUAGAAGUUUGUAUUUUAGGACCAAAAGAGAAAACCAGGGAAUUUAUUAAGCUUAGGGCGGAGAUGGACCACAUGAUCACCGGAGCAAAGUAUUCGGCGGCUGUGGCAUGGAGACUAUUCUGGAGAAAAUGGGCAUCCAGGGGAAGGUGCCAGCGAUGAGCUUCUGGAGCUGAUCUGUGAGGACAUGAGGCUGCAGAGCAGCAGAGAGCACAGGAGAGAAGGAAGAACUUUGACAGCUUUUUACUUUGCUAGAAAAAAAUGGUUAAUGAAGAUUAAACAUGUACAUGUAAAAGAAAUAUCUAAAUAAAAUCAGUUCUGCAUUAAA